rnacentral:rRNA from 1 species
UACGUAGGGUGCAAGCGUUGUCCGGAAUUAUUGGGCGUAAAGAGCUCGUAGGCGGUCUGUCGCGUCUGCUGUGAAAACUCGGGGCUUAACCCCGGCCUGCAGUGGGUACGGGCAGACUAGAGUGCGGUAGGGGAGACUGGAAUUCCUGGUGUAGCGGUGAAAUGCGCAGAUAUCAGGAGGAACACCGGUGGCGAAGGCGGGUCUCUGGGCCGUAACUGACGCUGAGGAGCGAAAGCGUGGGGAGCGAACAGGAUUAGACGUAC